rnacentral:misc_RNA from 1 species
CCGAGUUUACAACUCCCAAACCCCUGUGAACAUACCUAUAUGUUGCCUCGGCGGAUCAGCCCGCGCCCCGUAAAACGGGACGGCCCGCCGCAGGAUCCACAAACCCUGAAUUUUUAUUGUAACUUCUGAGUACAAAACAAAUAAAUCA